GACGAACGCUGGCGGCGUGCUUAACACAUGCAAGUCGAACGGAAAGGCCCUGCUUUUGUGGGGUGCUCGAGUGGCGAACGGGUGAGUAACACGUGAGUAACCUGCCCUUGACUUUGGGAUAACUUCAGGAAACUGGGGCUAAUACCGGAUAGGAGCUCCUGCUGCAUGGUGGGGGUUGGAAAGUUUCGGCGGUUGGGGAUGGACUCGCGGCUUAUCAGCUUGUUGGUGGGGUAGUGGCUUACCAAGGCUUUGACGGGUAGCCGGCCUGAGAGGGUGACCGGCCACAUUGGGACUGAGAUACGGACCAGACUCCUACGGGAGGCAGCAGUGGGGAAUAUUGCACAAUGGGCGGAAGCCUGAUGCAGCAACGCCGCGUGCGGGAUGACGGCCUUCGGGUUGUGAACCGCCUUCGCCUGUGACGAAGCGUGAGUGACGGUAAUGGGUAAAGAAGCACCGGCUAACUACGUG
rnacentral:rRNA from 1 species